AUCCAACUGACGAGUCCCAGAUAGGACGAAACUUGUGUCCUGGAU
rfam:Schistosoma rodhaini strain Burundi genome assembly, scaffold: SROB_scaffold0001680